ACGUGAUCUGAGUUCAGACCGGAGCAAUCCAGGUCAGUUUCUAUCUAUAAUAGGGGCUCUCUCUAGUACGAAAGGACCGAAAAAGCACGGCCAAUAUUCCCUGCAAGCCGCAACUAGUAAAGCGUGACUAAUUCUCAAUAAACAUUUAAUCCACCAGUUAAGCUUCAGAAAAGAGU
rnacentral:rRNA from 1 species